rnacentral:rRNA from 1 species
GGGCCCGCACAAGCGGUGGAGCAUGUGGUUUAAUUCGAUGCAACGCGAAGAACCUUACCUACUCUUGACAUCCAGAGAAGCCAGCGGAGACGCAGGUGUGCCUUCGGGAGCUCUGAGACAGGUGCUGCAUGGCUGUCGUCAGCUCGUGUUGUGAAAUGUUGGUUAAGUCCCGCAACGAGCGCAACCCUUAUCCUUGUUUGCCAGCGAGUAAUGUCGGGAACUCCAGGGAGACUGCCGGUGAUAAACCGGAGGAAGGUGGGGACGACGUCAAGUCAUCAUGGCCCUUACGAGUAGGGCUACACACGUGCUACAAUGGCGUAUACAGAGGGCAGCAAGCUAGCGAUAGUGAG